GCUGGGUGUGGUGGCCGCACACCUGUAAUUCCAGCUACUUUGGGAGGCUGAGGCAGGAGGAUCACUUGAGCCCAGGAGUUCAAGGUUCCAGUGAGCUGUGAUUGCACCAUUGCACUCUAGUCUGGGCAACAGAGUGAGACCCUGUCACUA
rnacentral:sRNA from 1 species